AAUCAACGCUGGCGGCGUGCCUAACACAUGCAAGUCGAACGCGAAAGUCCCGCAAGGGAUUAGUAGAGUGGCAAACGGGUGAGUAACACGUGGGUGACCUGCCUUCGAGUGGGGGAUAACGUCCCGAAAGGGACGCUAAUACCGCAUAACAUCCCUGCCUUUUAAAGAGGUGGAGAUCAAAGCUGGGGACCGUAAGGCCUGGCGCUGGGAAGAGGGGCCCGCGUCUGAUUAGCUAGUUGGGAGGUAACGGCUCACCAAGGCAACGAUCAGUAUCCGGCCUGAGAGGGCGGACGGACACACUGGGACUGAGACACGGCCCAGACUCCUACGGGAGGCAGCAGUGGGGAAUUGUUCGCAAUGGGACGCAAGCCCUGACGACGCAACGCCGCGUGGAGGAUGAAGACCUGGUCGUAAC
rnacentral:rRNA from 1 species